GAUGAACGCUGGCGGCGUGCCUAAUACAUGCAAGUCGAGCGAACGGACGAGAAGCUUGCUUCUCUGAUGUUAGCGGCGGACGGGUGAGUAACACGUGGAUAACCUACCUAUAAGACUGGGAUAACUUCGGGAAACCUUAGCUAAUACCGGAUAAUAUUUUGAACCGCAUGGUUCAACAGUGAAAGACGUUCUUGCUGUCACUUAUAGAUGGAUCCGCGCUGCAUUAGCUAGUUGGUAAGGUAACGGCUUACCAAGGCAACGAUGCAUAGCCGACCUGAGAGGGUGAUCGGCCACACUGGAACUGAGACACGGUCCAGACUCCUACGGGAGGCAGCAGUAGGGAAUCUUCCGCAAUGGGCGAAAGCCUGACGGAGCAACGCCGCGUGAGUGAUGAAGGUCUUCGGAUCGUAAAACUCUGUUAUUAGGGAAGAACAUAUGUGUAAGUAACUGUGCACAUCUUGACGGUACCUAAUCAGAAAGCCACGGCUAACUACGUG
rnacentral:rRNA from 1 species